UGGGGAAUAUUGCGCAAUGGGCGAAAGCCUGACGCAGCAACGCCGUGUGAGGGAUGAAGGCUUUCGGGUCGUAAACCUCUGUCAGAAGGGAAGAACGGGUGAGGGUCUAACAGGCCUUUAUUUUGACGGUACCUUCAGAGGAAGCACCGGCUAACUCCGUGCCAGCAGCCGCGGUAAUACGGAGGGUGCAAGCGUUAUUCGGAAUUACUGGGCGUAAAGCGCACGUAGGCGGCCUUGUAAGUCAGGGGUGAAAUCCCACGGCUCAACCGUGGAACUGCCCUUGAAACUGCGGGGCUUGAAUCCUGGAGAGGGUGGCGGAAUUCCUGGUGUAGGAGUGAAAUCCGUAGAUAUCAGGAGGAACACCGGUGGCGAAGGCGGCCACCUGGACAGGCAUUGACGCUGAGGUGCGAAAGUGUGGGGAGCAAACAG
rnacentral:rRNA from 1 species